ACAAUCUCAUACUUUAUUUAAAUACAGUUAGGAACAUACAUGUCAGUGUGCUCACUUUCUGUGCCCUAAUCGUUCACAGAUCGGUUUUUAAUUACACCACCCUCAGACUUAGCCAAUGGUUGUUGUAAUUUUAAGAUUGAGAGAUUCAUCUUUAUUUUGAAUUCUGCUAGAAUUCUGAAUAGAAACAUCCAACUAUUCUGAACUGCAGAAGGAAUUGCUCUUCUUUUUUAGUAUCUUGUGUGUUUACACGUGGCUGACCCACCAUUACUGUUCAUUCAGAGGCUGCCUGGGCACUCUUCCACCAUUCCACGCUGUUAUGUGCUGGGGUGCAGGGAUAGGGUUGUUCUGCUAUCUACAUCUUUUUCUCCAUCCCUUGAGACCUGUUAAAGACACUUGUGACGUUCCCCCCAGCCAUUUUUGACCAUGCUUUGCCCACCUCCAACAGUGAGCACUUAUCUUCCCAUUCAGGGGAAAGCCUUCAUUCCUGUCCUCCCUCUUUGGCUCCUUUUCAGAACAAUUUGUUCACGUUACAUAGUGCAAAGUUAGGUGCAAACUUAAAGGAAGAUACUUAUAGUGAUCACAGAGUGACUAUCUUGUUAUAACUGUUGAUACUGCACUGUUUUAUAGAGAUUAAAUGAUUCAAAGGGCCCACUAAAUAUUUUAGCUUCAGACAUCAGUUAUAAUCUACUUGCUAGCUUUUCUUUAAAAAAAAAAAAAAAAAAAACAAGGUGACCAAUAAUGAAUGUCUUUAAAGCACCACUUUGCUAUGCAGAGGACAGCUGGAGGCUGAACUCAGAUGGACGUCACAUAAGGAAAACAUUCAACAACUGGGGGUCAGCUGUUCGUGGCAUAUGGCGAGGAAACAGUGCUGCUUCAUGUGGAUAAUAGGGUAGGUCAUAGUCCAAAGACAAAUCUGUACUUACCUUUUCCAUUAGGUUUGGACAGGCCCCACCUUUUGAGACAGAUUUAUCCAACAAGUUUUAAUGAAAGACACAGAUUCUACUUAGAAAUGCAGAGAUCCUCCAACUUCCAAAGUAUCCGUAAGGAAGGGCUAUUCUUUUCAUUUACAUCCUCACUGCCAAUAGACAAACUAUCUGCGGUGCAAGGUAUGGGCUGAAGGGUAUCAUUAUAACAUUUACUACCAAGGCCUGCUGAAAUUAAAUGUCAUGAAUACCAUCCAUUAGGAAAUGGACAGUUUAGAAACAGUACUGCCUGCUGCAUGCAUUUUCUCUGUAUAGGAGGGAGAGCAACAGGUAAAAACUGAUUUUAAAAAGUCUUUUACUUUUUGUCAUCAUAGCAAAUAGUAUCACCAGGGUUACCUACGGCACACGUUACCAAGUUUACUUCUGCUGGCAGUUCUGCAUCUCUUCAGGUUUUGGGGUACCUGAAAUGCAGUUCUGAGUAAACACAUGCACUCAUUCAACAUCAACAGCAAGAACCCAUUUUAAGAGACAUCUUUCAGCU
ensembl:lncRNA